UUUUGCGUACGGAAAACAAAA
ensembl:piRNA 21ur-11842 ncRNA